GGGGAAUAUUGCACAAUGGGGGAAACCCUGAUGCAGCGACGCCGCGUGAGUGAAGAAGUAUUUCGGUACGUAAAGCUCUAUCAGCAGGGAAGAAAAUGACGGUACCUGACUAAGAAGCCCCGGCUAACUACGUGCCAGCAGCCGCGGUAAUACGUAGGGGGCAAGCGUUAUCCGGAUUUACUGGGUGUAAAGGGAGCGUAGGUGGCAAGUCAAGUCAGAUGUGAAAGCCCGGGGCUCAACUCCGGGAUUGCAUUUGAAACUGGUUUGCUAGAGUGCAGGAGAGGUAAGUGGAAUUCCUAGUGUAGCGGUGAAAUGCGUAGAUAUUAAGAGGAACACCAGUGGCGAAGGCGGCUUACUGGACUGUAACUGACACUGAGGCUCGAAAGCGUGGGGAGCAAAC
rnacentral:rRNA from 1 species